GGCUCAGAUUGAACGCUGGCGGCAUGCCUUACACAUGCAAGUCGAACGGCAGCACGGGUGCUUGCACCUGGUGGCGAGUGGCGAACGGGUGAGUAAUACAUCGGAACAUGUCCUGUAGUGGGGGAUAGCCCGGCGAAAGCCGGAUUAAUACCGCAUACGAUCUACGGAUGAAAGCGGGGGACCUUCGGGCCUCGCGCUAUAGGGUUGGCCGAUGGCUGAUUAGCUAGUUGGUGGGGUAAAGGCCUACCAAGGCGACGAUCAGUAGCUGGUCUGAGAGGACGACCAGCCACACUGGGACUGAGACACGGCCCAGACUCCUACGGGAGGCUGCAGUGGGGAAUUUUGGACAAUGGGCGAAAGCCUGAUCCAGCAAUGCCGCGUGUGUGAAGAAGGCCUUCGGGUUGUAAAGCACUUUUGUCCGGAAAGAAAUCCUUGGCUCUAAUACAGCCGGGGGAUGACGGUACCGGAAGAAUAAGCACCGGCUAACUACGUGCCAGCAGCCGCGGUAAUACGUAGGGUGCGAGCGUUAAUCGGAAUUACUGGGCGUAAAGCGUGCGCAGGCGGUUUGCUAAGACCGAUGUGAAAUCCCCGGGCUCAACCUGGGAACUGCAUUGGUGACUGGCAGGCUAGAGUAUGGCAGAGGGGGGUAGAAUUCCACGUGUAGCAGUGAAAUGCGUAGAGAUGUGGAGGAAUACCGAUGGCGAAGGCAGCCCCCUGGGCCAAU
rnacentral:rRNA from 1 species